rnacentral:rRNA from 1 species
UACGAAGGGGGCUAGCGUUGUUCGGAAUUACUGGGCGUAAAGCGCACGUAGGCGGACAUUUUAAGUCAGGGGUGAAAUCCCGGGGCUCAACCCCGGAACUGCCUUUGAUACUGGGUGUCUUGAGUGUGGUAGAGGUGAGUGGAAUUGCGAGUGUAGAGGUGAAAUUCGUAGAUAUUCGCAGGGACACCAGUGGCGAAGGCGGCUCACUGGACCACAACUGACGCUGAGGUGCGAAAGCGUGGGGAGCAAACAGG